GUAAUGUCUGGGAAACUGCCUGAUGGAGGGGGAUAACUACUGGAAACGGUGGCUAAUACCGCAUAACGUCGCAAGACCAAAGAGGGGGACCUUCGGGCCUCUUGCCAUCAGAUGUGCCCAGAUGGGAUUAGCUAGUUGGUGAGGUAACGGCUCACCAAGGCGACGAUCCCUAGCUGGUCUGAGAGGAUGACCAGCCACACUGGAACUGAGACACGGUCCAGACUCCUACGGGAGGCAGCAGUGGGGAAUAUUGCACAAUGGGCGCAAGCCUGAUGCAGCCAUGCCGCGUGUAUGAAGAAGGCCUUCGGGUUGUAAAGUACUUUCAGCGGGGAGGAAGGUGUUGUGGUUAAUAACCGCAGCAAUUGACGUUACCCGCAGAAGAAGCACCGGCUAACUCCGUGCCAGCAGCCGCGGUAAUACGGAGGGUGCAAGCGUUAAUCGGAAUUACUGGGCGUAAAGCGCACGCAGGCGGUCUGUCAAGUCGGAUGUGAAAUCCCCGGGCUCAACCUGGGAACUGCAUUCGAAACUGGCAGGCUUGAGUCUUGUAGAGGGGGGUAGAAUUCCAGGUGUAGCGGUGAAAUGCGUAGAGAUCUGGAGGAAUACCGGUGGCGAAGGCGGCCCCCUGGACAAAGACUGACGCUCAGGUGCGAAAGCGUGGGGAGCAAACAGGAUUAGAUACCCUGGUAGUCCACGCCGUAAACGAUGUCUACUUGGAGGUUGUGCCCUUGAGGCGUGGCUUCCGGAGCUAACGCGUUAAGUAGACCGCCUGGGGAGUACGGCCGCAAGGUUAAAACUCAAAUGAAUUGACGGGGGCCCGCACAAGCGGUGGAGCAUGUGGUUUAAUUCGAUGCAACGCGAAGAACCUUACCUGGUCUUGACAUCCACAGAACUUUCCAGAGAUGGACUGGUGCCUUCGGGAACUGUGAGACAGGUGCUGCAUGGCUGUCGUCAGCUCGUGUUGUGAAAUGUUGGGUUAAGUCCCGCAACGAGCGCAACCCUUAUCCUUUGUUGCCAGCGGUCCGGCCGGGAACUCAAAGGAGACUGCCAGUGAUAAACUGGAGGAAGGUGGGGAUGACGUCAAGUCAUCAUGGCCCUUACGACCAGGGCUACACACGUGCUACAAUGGCGCAUACAAAGAGAAGCGACCUCGCGAGAGCAAGCGGACCUCAUAAAGUGCGUCGUAGUCCGGAUUGGAGUCUGCAACUCGACUCCAUGAAGUCGGAAUCGCUAGUAAUCGUGGAUCAGAAUGCCACGGUGAAUACGUUCCCGGGCCUUGUACACACCGCCCGUCACACCAUGGGAGUGGGUUGCAAAAGAAGUAGGUAGCUUAACCUUCGGGAGGGCGCUUACCACUUUGUGAUUCAUGACUGGGGUGAAGUCGUAACAAGGUAACCGUAGGGGAACCUGCGGUUGGAUCACCUCCUUACCUUAAAGAA
rnacentral:rRNA from 1 species